UUAAUUGAAACCAAGCCAGAGGUAUAUCACUGUUAAUGAUAUUAUUGGAAAUAAAAUCCCAAUUAAA
rnacentral:tRNA from 1 species